rnacentral:rRNA from 1 species
UACAGAGGGUGCAAGCGUUGUUCGGAAUUACUGGGCGUAAAGGGCGUGUAGGCGGCUUAGCAAGUCAGAUGUGAAAUCCCGGGGCUUAACUUCGGAAGUGCAUUUGAAACUGCUAGGCUAGAGUGAAGUAGAGGUUGGUGGAAUUCCCAGUGUAGAGGUGAAAUUCGUAGAUAUUGGGAGGAACACCGGUGGCGAAGGCGGCCAACUGGGCUUUAACUGACGCUGAGGCGCGAAAGCGUGGGGAGCAAACGGG